rnacentral:rRNA from 1 species
GACGAACGCUGGCGGCGUGCCUAAUACAUGCAAGUAGAACGCACAGUUUAUACCGUAGCUUGCUACACCAUAGACUGUGAGUUGCGAACGGGUGAGUAACGCGUAGGUAACCUGCCUGGUAGCGGGGGAUAACUAUUGGAAACGAUAGCUAAUACCGCAUAAUAUUGAUUAUUGCAUGAUAAUUGAUUGAAAGAUGCUAUUGCAUCACUACCAGAUUGACCUGCGUUGUAUUAGCUAGUAGGUGAGGUAACGGCUCACCUAGGCGACGAUACAUAGCCGACCUGAGAGGGUGAUCGGCCACACUGGGACUGAGACACGGCCCAGACUCCUACGGGAGGCAGCAGUAGGGAAUCUUCGGCAAUGGACGAAAGUCUGACCGAGCAACGCCGCGUGAGUGAAGAAGGUUUUCGGAUCGUAAAGCUCUGUUGUAAGAGAAGAACGGGUGUGAGAGUGGAAAGUUCACACUGUGACGGUAUCUUACCAGAAAGGGACGGCUAACUACGU